rnacentral:rRNA from 1 species
GACGAACGCUGGCGGCGUGCUUAACACAUGCAAGUCGAACGGAAAGGCCCUGCUUUUGUGGGGUGCUCGAGUGGCGAACGGGUGAGUAACACGUGAGUAACCUGCCCUUGACUUUGGGAUAACUUCAGGAAACUGGGGCUAAUACCGGAUAGGAGCUCCUGCUGCAUGGUGGGGGUUGGAAAGUUUCGGCGGUUGGGGAUGGACUCGCGGCUUAUCAGCUUGUUGGUGGGGUAGUGGCUUACCAAGGCUUUGACGGGUAGCCGGCCUGAGAGGGUGACCGGCGACAUUGGGACUGAGAUACGGCCCAGACUCCUACGGGAGACAGCAGUGGGGAAUAUUGCACAAUGGGCGGAAGCCUGAUGCAGAAACGCCGCGUGCGGGAUGACGGCCUUCGGGUAGUAAACCGCUUUCGCCUGUGACGAAGCGGGAGUGACGGUAAUGGGUAAAGAAGCACCGGCUAACUACGUG